rnacentral:rRNA from 1 species
GGUGAGUAACACGUUGGUGACCUGCCCCGAGGUGGGGAAUAACUGUGGGAAACCACGGCUAAUACCCCGGAUGUUAAAGAGUUUAGACAUCUUUAACUAAAGUUCCGGCGCCUCGGGAGGGGCCUGCGGGCUAUCAGCUUGUUGGUGGGGUAACGGCCUACCAAGGCUAAGACGGCUAGGGGGCGUGAGAGCGCGACCCCCCACAAUGGAACUGAGAAACGGUCCAUACUCCUACGGGAGGCAGCAGUGAGGAAUAUUGCACAAUGGGGGAAACCCUGAUGCAGCAACGCCGCGUGAACGAUGAAGGCCUUCGGGUUGUAAAGUUCUUUUCUGGGGGACGAUAGUGACGGUACCUCAGGAAUAAGUCCCGGCUAACUACGUGCCAGCAGCCGCGGUAAAACGUAGGGGGCGAGCGUUAUCCGGAUUUAUUGGGCGUAAAGCGCAAGUAGGCAGCGUUGUAAGUUGGACGUGAAAGCUCCCGGCUCAACUGGGAGAGGUCGUUCAAAACUACAGUGCUCGAGGUUGGAAGAGGAGAGUAGAAUUCCCGGUGUAGUGGUGGAAUGCGUAGAUAUCGGGAGGAAUACCAGUGGCGAAAGCGACUCUCUGGUCCACACCUGACGCUGAGGUGCGAAAGCGUGGGUAGCGAACGGGAUUAGAUACCCCGGUAGUCCACGCGGUAAACGAUGGAUACUAGGUGUAGGGGGUCACUGAAUCCCUAUGUGCCGUAGCAAACGCGUUAAGUAUCCCGCCUGGGGAGUACGGCCGCAAGGUUAAAACUCAAAGGAAUUGACGGGGGGCCGCACAAGCAGCAGAGCGUGUGGUUUAAUUCGAUGAUACGCGAAGAACCUUACCUGGGCUGAACUACGUGGUAGUAGAAAAGCGAAAGCGGAUCGACCCUUCGGGGAGCCUCGAUAGGUGCUGCAUGGCUGUCGUCAGCUCGUGUCGUGAGAUGUUGGGCUAAGUCCCGCAAUGAGCGCAACCCUUGUCGUUAGUUAUACGUGUCUAGCGAGACUGCCGGUAUCAAACCGGAGGAAGGUGGGGAUGACGUCAAGUCAGCAUGGUCUUUAUGUCCAGGGCUACACACACGCUACAAUGGCCGGUUCAACAGGUUGCUAUACCGCGAGGUGGAGCUAAUCCCUAAAGCCGGUCUCA